rnacentral:pre_miRNA from 1 species
UCCCUGAGACCCUAAAACGUGAGACGGUUUCACGUAUUCGGCUCUCAGU